UAACUUCUUCCCAUGUGUGCACAGAACUAUGUUGUGCUUCUGGACUCCACACUCCCCAGAUCCCAGUAUGACUACAUCUUGCCUCAAGUUUCUUUCACCGCAGUGGGCUACCAUAAACACAUCACCUUGAUUUUUAAUCCCACGGUAAGUAAAAGAGGGAGUUAAAAAAAAAUCCAUGGUGCUGGGAUUACAGGCGUGAGCCACUGCACCUGGCCUGAAUUAAACUUUUAAGUAAGUGUUUACUUCAGUGGAAAAAUGGGUUGGGUUCUAAGAGAUGUCCAGAGAUACAGGAGUAGGCAGUUGUUGAUGGAAAUCUGUUCCUGCCCUUAUUCUUUCAUUUAUGAAAGGGCAUCCCAGGUACAGCGGCCCCCACAGUCACUCUCUAGCCCAGCAGUUCUCGGAUGGGUUGGUUGCAGGACCCCUUUAUACUGUUAAAAAUUAUUGAGGAUUUUAAAGAGUUUGAGUUUGCAUGGAUUAUCUCUGUGUAUAUUUAUCAUAUUAGUAAUUAAAACCGAGAUGUUGAAAACGCAAGAACUCACAAGCUACA
rnacentral:misc_RNA from 1 species